GCCAGUGUAGCUCAGGGGUAGAGCAGUUCUUUCGUAAAGAACAGGUCGUUGGUUCAAAUCCAAUCACUGGCU
rnacentral:tRNA from 1 species